rnacentral:rRNA from 1 species
CCCUAGUAACUGCGAGUGAAGCGGGAAAAGCUCAAAUUUAAAAUCUGGCGGUCUCAGGCUGUCCGAGUUGUAAUCUAGAGAAGUGUUAUCCGCGCUGGACCGUGUACAAGUCUCCUGGAAUGGAGCGUCAUAGAGGGUGAGAAUCCCGUCUUUGACACGGACUGCCAGGGCUUUGUGAUGCGCUCUCAAAGAGUCGAGUUGUUUGGGAAUGCAGCUCAAAAUGGGUGGUAAAUUCCAUCUAAAGCUAAAUAUUGGCGAGAGACCGAUAGCGAACAAGUACCGUGAGGGAAAGAUGAAAAGAACUUUGGAAAGAGAGUUAAACAGUACGUGAAAUUGCUGAAAGGGAAACGCUUGAAGUCAGUCGCGUUGGCUGGGAAUCAACCUUGCUUUUGCUGGGUGUACUUUCCGGUUGACGGGUCAGCAUCAAUUUUGACCGUUGGAUAAAGUUCAGGGGAAUGUGGCAUCUUCGGAUGUGUUAUAGCCCUUGGUCGUAUACAACGAUUGGGAUUGAGGAACUCAGCAUGCCGCGAGGCCGGGUACUUGUACCACGUUCAUGCUUAGGAUGCUGGCAUAAUGGCUUUAAUCGACCCGUCUUGAAACACGGACCAAGGAGUCUAACAUGCCUGCGAGUGUUUGGGUGGAAAACCCGAGCGCGUAAUGAAAGUGAAAGUUGAGAUCCCUGUCGUGGGGAGCAUCGACGCCCGGACCAGACCUUUUGUGACGGAUCCGCGGUAGAGCAUGUAUGUUGGGACCC